CACGUAGGGCGCAAGCGUUGUCCGGAAUUAUUGGGCGUAAAGAGCUCGUAGGCGGUGUGUCGCGUCGGCUGUGAAAACCUGGGGCUCAACCCUGGGCUUGCAGCUGAUACGGGCAGACUGGAGUUCGGCAGGGGAGACUGGAAUUCCUGGUGUAGCGGUGAAAUGCGCAGAUAUCAGGAGGAACACCGGUGGCGAAGGCGGGUCUCUGGGCCGAUAUUGACGCUGAGGAGCGAAAGCGUGGGGAGCAAACAGG
rnacentral:rRNA from 1 species